CCCCAACUCCCACAGUAUUCAGCUUUCCCAUUACGUGCAAAGCACGUGCUAGACUUAAAAUAUUUUUUUCAUGCUUUGAGAUUUAUGCUAUGGGACUAGAUAUUACAUUCCCCCCCUUAAAAAAAAAUCAUCCUCAAAAUUUUUCUGACUUAGGAUUCAUAGUUCAAAUCUCAUCUUCAAAUAUUUUGAUAUUCUAAUUCUUAAUGCUGUUAAAU
rnacentral:lncRNA from 1 species